rnacentral:rRNA from 1 species
GACGAACGCUGGCGGCGUGCUUAACACAUGCAAGUCGAACGGUGAAGCGCCUUCCUUUUUGGUGGGUGUGGAUGAGUGGCGAACGGGUGAGUGACACGUGAGUAACCUGCCCCCUUCUUCUGGAUAACCGCAUGAAAGUGUGGCUAAUACGGGAUAUUCUGGGUCUGUCGCAUGAUGGGUCUGGGAAAGAUAUUGUUUCGGUGGGGGAUGGGCUCGCGGCCUAUCAGCUUGUUGGUGGGGUGAUGGCCUACCAAGGCGGUGACGGGUAGCCGGCCUGAGAGGGUGGACGGUCACACUGGGACUGAGACACGGCCCAGACUCCUACGGGAGGCAGCAGUGGGGAAUAUUGCACAAUGGGCGCAAGCCUGAUGCAGCGACGCCGCGUGAGGGAUGGAGGCCUUCGGGUUGUGAACCUCUUUCGCCAGUGAAGCAGGCCUGCCUCGUUUGUGGGUGGGUUGACGGUAGCUGGAUAAGAAGCGCCGGCUAACUACGUG